UGGCCCGGCGCCCGCCCACCCCGCGGAGGAGUGAGGCGGGGGUUCCGGCCGGGCCAACAGGGGGAUGACGAGCUUUUGCUUUGCUGACUGUGAUGAGCACGCCCU
rnacentral:snoRNA from 1 species